GCCGAGGUGGCGGAACAGGUAGACGCGCCGGAUUCAAAAUCCGGUUCUCGCAAGAGAGUGCGGGUUCGAGCCCCGCCCUCGGCA
rnacentral:tRNA from 1 species